rnacentral:rRNA from 1 species
AAACUGGAGAGUUUGAUCCUGGCUCAGAACGAACGCUGGCGGCGUGCUUAACACAUGCAAGUCGAACGCGAAAGCACUCCUUCGGGGGAGCGAGUAGAGUGGCGCACGGGUGAGUAACGCGUAGAUAAUCUACCCCUGUAUCUGGGAUAACCAAUCGAAAGGCUGGCUAAUACCGGAUAGUCUUAUACUACCGCAAGGUAAAUUGAGUAAAGGUGACCUCUCAGCGAAGUUGCCGUAUAGGGAUGAGUCUGCGUACCAUUAGCUAGUAGGUAAGGUAACGGCUUACCUAGGCAACGAUGGUUAGCGGGUCUGAGAGGAUGAUCCGUCACACUGGAACUGAAACACGGACCAGACUCCUACGGGAGGCAGCAGUGAGGAAUAUUGCGCAAUGGGGGAAACCCUGACGCAGCGACGCCGCGUGGGUGAAGAAGGCCUUCGGGUUGUAAAGCCCUGUCAGAUGGGAAGAAGUGCAUAGUAGUUAAUACCUGCCAUGUUUGACGGUACCAUCAGAGGAAGCACCGGCUAAAUCCGUGCCAGCAGCCGCGGUAAUACGGAUGGUGCGAGCGUUGUUCGGAAUUACUGGGCGUAAAGGGCGCGUAGGCGGCCCUGUAAGUCAGAUGUGAAAGCCCACGGCUCAACCGUGGAAGUGCAUCUGAAACUGCAGAGCUUGAGUAUCGGAGAGGAAAGUGGAAUUCCCGGUGUAGAGGUGAAAUUCGUAGAUAUCGGGAGGAAUACCGGUGGCGAAGGCGACUUUCUGGACGAAUACUGACGCUGAGGCGCGAAAGCGUGGGGAGCAAACAGGAUUAGAUACCCUGGUAGUCCACAGCUGUAAACGAUGAGAACUAGGUAUAGGGGGUGUUGACCCCUUCUGUGCCGUAGCUAACGCAUUAAGUUCUCCGCCUGGGGAGUACGGUCGCAAGAUUAAAACUCAAAGGAAUUGACGGGGGCCCGCACAAGCGGUGGAGUAUGUGGUUUAAUUCGACGCAAC